UACGGAGGGUGCGAGCGUUAAUCGGAAUUACUGGGCGUAAAGCGCACGCAGGCGGUUUGUUAAGCUAGAUGUGAAAGCCCCGGGCUCAACCUGGGAUGGUCAUUUAGAACUGGCAGACUAGAGUCUUGGAGAGGGGAGUGGAAUUCCAGGCGUAGCGGUGAAAUGCGUAGAUAUCUGGAGGAACAUCAGUGGCGAAGGCGACUCCCUGGCCAAAGACUGACGCUCAUGUGCGAAAGUGUGGGUAGCGAACAGG
rnacentral:rRNA from 1 species